AGGAAGGAAGGAAGGGAAUAAGGAAGGAAAGAAAUGAGAGAAAAGUCUGAGACUGUGCAUAGAUUAUAAAGAACAGAUACUAGAAAGCCUGAGAUCAAGGUGGUAUCAUCUAGGCCUGUCACGUCUUCUUGCUUCAUACCCAUAUGGCAAAAGGUAGGAGGACAAACUCAGAAUCUAGCUUAGCCACUGAAUGAAGCCUCCUCUGUAAAGACUUACCCUCAUGAACAAAUAAACAGCUUUUAUGGCUUACAUGUAUAAAGUCCUUAUUCCAUGACACUAUCACAAUGACAGCACUUGAUUUCUGACAAGGACACAUUCAAGCCAUUGCAACCCACAGCGGUGGAUUUCAUUACAUCAGAUUCUGAAAAACAUCCAUCACAUACUUUCCCAUUAUUCACCCUCAAAAAAAGACUAUUCCCCAAUAAGAGAUUAGGAGACCAACAUGAAACGCUGUACUAGUCUGUUCUCUAUAAUCUUACCAAUUCUGUCUAUCUGUAGUUACACAGCCGAUAUUGUCUUCAGGUGGGCUGUAUAUCGUCUGCAUGGAAAUAUGGCAUCAUAUAUGGAUAAUAUUAUUGUAGAAGCAUGUGAAGAUUAUGUAUGUGAGGGUGGAAUAGGAAGAGGAGGUGCGAUGGGGUAUUUAAAUGUAUGCGAGACAUUUAAAUAGUACACACCAAAUGAAAGUGGAGGCAUUUGAAUAUCUACCAGUGAAGUGGUAGCUCACUGUAGUCAGAAUUUGUAUUUAUUUGAUCAUUAAAUUACUGAACAUCCUUUCUUAUAAUUACUGGCCAUAUGUGCUUCCUUUUCCCUUUUUGCAUAAAUGCUACACAUAUUAAAAUAAUAACUUUAAUAACAACAAAGAAUAGAUGUACUCACUGCAAUUGCUUUUGAGGAUAUGGUUCAUAAUUUCAUCUGGGAAAUUGCAGCAGUAGAAUGAUUACAGCAUUCAUUAGGAAAAGAAUUUUUAAAAUGCAAUUGUAGUUUCUCUUUCUGCAGUAUUAUCUAAGUAGAUACUUUUUUUUUUUAUGAUGAAUGAAGUGUUUCCAACAUGUCACUUUCUGGUAGCAAGAAGAGGGUCUGUGUGGCAGGAACCUUCUUAGACUGUAAUUGCUCUAAUGGGUCAUUGAUCUUAAAGUAAUCUAAACAGACCCUCACAGUGGUGUGCAAUGCCACAGGAGGCCGUUAACGUCACUGUUGGGUAAAUACUCGGCUCAAGCAUUCAUUUGCUAUUACAAAUGAUAAAAUAAACAGUACAUAUUUCAAGAACCUUGUAAUUACAUGUACUUACACAGUAGUUCAAAAUAAUACACUCCUGGGAGAAGCUGUGCUUUAUAUCAGUCAAACGAAGUGAACAUGAUGUCUUGGGUUGCAAUCAUGGGAGUGGAAAUCAGAACGUCUAUUUUGGGCACCAUAGAUGACAACUGAAUUCCCCCCUGCUGAAGAAGUCACUUAACCUUUUCUUGCUUUAGUACUCCUAGCGUAGAUAAAGACAAGUCUAUUUAUAAAAUCCUGUUGAAGUUGUUAGCUUACAGAUUGGUAUUUCUUCAUCCAGCUGUCUGUUAUUUCAAACAAUGAUUCAUAUGUAUCAAGAGAAAUAAAAUUGCUAUCAAAUAUAAUCGCAAUAUAUGUAAGACACCUAAUAGCCUUUAUGUUUUUUUUUCCUCUACUCUACCUUCCUAUACUUUUCUAUCAAAAGGACUAUUCCAGAUUUAAAGACUUAAAGACAUACAUGUCAAACAUACUAAUGUAUUAAAUAUGCUUGUUCCAAAUAUAUUUAUUGAAAAUGUAAUGAAAAGUUAAUGGUAAUGAAGUCAUCCAUUUUUCUUAAUAACAGUUUUAAGAUUUAGUCACAUUUUUGUGUUGUGAUUCAUUUGUUUUGACUGCUGCAUAAAAUUACAUUGUGAACAAUAAUACACAUCAUUAAUAUACUCUUCCUUUGUUGGUCAUUUAAUUCAUUUCUAUGUCUUUACUAUGAGGAAUGAUAUACAUAUGUCUCAUCAUAGAGGACCACAGACUCUCAUGGAUACAUACAGAGAAAUGGACUAAAAGGUCCAAGAGGAAUUAAUAUUAAAGAUAACGAGGCCAUAGAGAUGUCACAGUCAGCAUGACUCUUGGCAUAUAGGCAUAAGGAUCUGAGUUAGAAUUCCUAGAGCCCACAACAAGCCAAUGCUCCUCCAGCAAGACCUUACCUGGAGACAGAAUUCCUGGGCACUCAUUGCCCUGCUAGCCUGGAAUAUUAAAAGAUAAAACAAGAGACUCUGUCUUAAACAAGGUUAAAGGGAAUGACCAACGAUCUGCUUCCAGUUACAUAUAAGGUAUUCACACACACACACACACACACACACACACACACACACAGACAAUGGCAGGUGUUUUUGUUGUUGUUGACUUGUUUUACAUGUGCUAUUUAUGUAAAUAAAUAGAAUUCUUAGUUUUACAUAUUCACUUCUUAAAAUAAUCUAUACUCUUUGGAAGCCUUAUAUUAUUUCCGCACUAUGUAGACCAGGUUGGCCUCGAACUCACAGAGAGAACUUGCUACCUCUGCCUCCCUUCUUGAAACUGUCAUUAAAAUGCAGUGCAACAGUGCCCAGAUCAACUGGUCUCUUUACAUAAAAUCACGAGGUCUCUCUAACCUGUUUAUGUCAACAGGUUAUGAUGACAUAGGGACAACAGUGCCACACAUGUUUUUACAGAAUCUCAAGCUAACUUCUGAGGAAUGUCAAUCAAAAACUUGGCAAAGAGAGCAAGUUUCCCAUCGAUCAUUGAUUUCUUAUUUGAGAAAAUAUUUAUUUUCUAUUGAAAUUUCUCUAAUGGUAUUCAGUUCCCUUACUUAUGAGAAAGGACUUAUUCCUGGUACAAGAUAGUGCUUAACCAACAACCAUAACUCACCAAGAGAACUUGAAUGCUGGAGAUUAAGAAAUGAACUUACUUAAACAAGCUAGAAAAUCUUUCCUACCUACAAUAUAAUAAAGAUAUUCAAAUUAUUUACCAGUUCAAAUGUCGAGAAAAAGCAAGACUGGAAGAAAUCCAAAAGAUGUAGAAAAUUAUGGACAGUUGAACUUGUCGAUAAUAAAUAUUUAAAAUAUUUUAGGAUAGUCCAAGGAGUAGACUAUAAUUUAUUAAUUAUUGUGGUUGAAAUAUUGUAAUUAUGAGUGCAAUUUAAAUCACUAUGCUGACAUUUCAGACAAAAUACCUUGUCAAGCAAAGGCAAUUAUUUAAACAGUAGUGAAGAGGAAGAGAGCUAUUUACAUCGUUCAUUUACCUUAAUUAAUUUGGGUAUAUUAUGACAGGCAAGAAAAGUAUUUUUCAAGAUCUUUAUGGCACUACGACUUCAAGUAAUACAAUAACUGAAUCAUACUUAGAAUUUAAAUUUAAUGCAAAUAAAGAUAAACUUUGAUAAUAAAGAAUCUCCUUAAUAUAUCAACUUAAUCACAAUGACAUAAUAAUAAAAACAUGAUUUAUUUGAGUUAUGGCUUUAUAGUUUUCCAAGUGCUGUCAAAAUUCAGUGGCAAAAACUGAAGUUUUCACUAUUUGAUCCUGUAACUAUGCAGUUGUCCCUAACUUAAAUUUCCAUAGAGUAAAUGUUGGCCUCUGUUAAAUUAUAGCUUUAACGAAAAUUUUAGAGCAUUUAUCCCACCUUUAGGUUCAUUACAUAAAUAAUCAUAGUGAGCAGUCAAAAGAUUUUUUGCUAUCAAUUAUUAUGCUUAUGUUUUAGAAGACAUCAUUUAAUAAAAGAAUUUGAACUCAUUUUCCCUUUACUCUGUAUUCAAUGAUGAAAAGUUUACAUUGUAUUAUAAAAUGCUAAAACCAGUUGAAAUUAGUUUUAAAUGUUAUUUUACAAUGCGUACUUCCUCAAACAUGAGUCUACAAGCAAAAAUGUGAAUAAUUCAGCCAUUUAUAUAUCAGAAUAUUUUGAUUAUUCAAUGAAAAAUUUCUACACAUAUAGAAUUAUUGAUUUCCUUCUAUAGUGAUUAGAAAAGUAUUUAUUAAAUUCUAUGACAAUGUACUAUUAACAAAUAGUAUGAAUAAUACUAUUAUUAUUGUUAUAUAUCAUUGAAUAUAUCAAUGUUCCUAUUAACAAAAAAAACCAAAGUUUCUGAUUACAAUGACUAAUUUAAAUAUACAAAACUAUGUCAUUGCACUUGAUAGCAGCUGCAUAAUAGCCAUUCUUAUUUUGCUUUGAAACUAGAGAAAUAACCUCUUAAAGAUACUAUUUCAGAUAUUGAUUUUUAAUACAAUAUUUUCAGUUUAAUGCCACAGGUCAUUUAGGAAAUAGAGACACCAAAAGGUUUGAUACUAGUUCCAGGGGACAAUUUCUGUUCCUUUCUUUUCUCCAUUGAUACCCCCUUUGCCAUGGCCUCUAAAAACUAAGAAAUCAAGGGAAGACCUGGCUGGCUACCUUAACUUUGUCUUCUGCUUCAUACUGUAGCUUUUACUGAUAAUUUUAACAUGGUUUAGAUUCAGUAUCAGAUUUGUAUCCUCCUUACAUGUCAAGUGCAGGGCAUUUUGAGAUGUAGUAUGCCUGCAUUCUGACACUAUAUACUAGUCUCUGUGCUAUGUUUUCUCCAAAGAUGGAACUGAGUUUAACAAUGUCUCACAGGAGCUUUUCUGAGAAAUGUACGCCAAGGAAAAUUCUGCUCUCUAAUAACCAUAUUGAAAGGUUAUAUAUUUCCAAUUUGUUAAUUAACGCUAAGCAAUGAUCUCUGAUGUACAGCUGGGCAGGUGGCAUCUCUGGUCUCUUGGGCAGAGACUGUUAGAUAGAAAACAGGAGUCACUCUCAGAUUAGUGUACUAAUUAAUUCCAGAGAACUCCUACUUAGACUAUAUCAAAAGACAAGUGACGCAUAUACCAGAAAUGUGGAAACCCCUGUGGUUUCUUUCAUCUCUUACCAGC
rnacentral:lncRNA from 1 species